rnacentral:sRNA from 1 species
GUUCUAAGAUGUCUACCCUCCUCCACCCAAGACAGAAUCGAUCAUCUUUGACACCUACCUGCUUAGUCUCCUGAAUCUGCUACUGAGUGUAAUUCCCCUUAUUGGCAACACCACUCACCAGAAUUGAUGUGACUGAAGUGCAAAUCUUCAUAAUAAUCAUGCAUUUGCUGGCAGUGAUUGGAGGACCACCUUUUUGGCAAUCUAUGAUUCCAGUGCUGAAUAUUCAAAUGAAAAUUUUUCCUGCACUUUGUACUGUAGCAGGGACCAUAUUUUCCUGUACAAAUUACUUCCGUGUAAUCUUCACAGGUGGUGUUGGCAAAAAUGGAUCAACAAUAGCAGGAACAAGUGUCCUUUCUCCUUUUCUCCAUAUUGGAUCAGUGAUUACAUUAGCUGCAAUGAUCUACAAGAAAUCUGCAGUUCAGCUUUUUGAAAAGCAUCCCUGUCUUUAUAUACUGACAUUUGGUUUUGUGUCUGCUAAAAUCACUAAUAAGCUUGUGGUUGCACACAUGACGAAAAGUGAAAUGCAUUUGCAUGACACAGCAUUCAUAGGUCCGGCACUUUUGUUUCUGGACCAGUAUUUUAACAGCUUUAUUGAUGAAUAUAUUGUACUUUGGAUUGCCCUGGUUUUCUCUUUCUUUGAUUUGAUCCGCUACUGUGUCAGUGUUUGCAAUCAGAUUGCGUCUCACCUGCACAUACAUGUCUUCAGAAUCAAGGUCUCUACAGCUCAUUCUAAUCAUCAUUAAUGAUGUAAUUGGUAUAUAGGA